rnacentral:tRNA from 1 species
UGGGAGGUCGUCUAACGGCAAGACUGCGGGCUCUGGAUCCGCCUAUCAGGGUUCGAAUCCCUGCCUCCCAGCCA